rnacentral:rRNA from 1 species
UAACGCGUGGGAACCUUCCCAGUGGUACGGAAUAGCCCAGGGAAACUUGGGGUAAUACCGUAUAAGCCCUUCGGGGGAAAGAUUUAUCGCCAUUGGAUGGGCCCGCGUCGGAUUAGCUUGUUGGUGAGGUAAAAGCUCACCAAGGCGACGAUCCGUAGCUGGUCCUGAGAGGAUGAUCAGCCACACUGGGACUGAGACACGGCCCAGACUCCUACGGGAGGCAGCAGUGGGGAAUAUUGGACAAUGGGCGCAAGCCUGAUCCAGCCAUGCCGCGUGAGUGACGAAGGCCUUAGGGGUUGUAAAGCUCUUUUGGCGGGGACGAUAAUGACGGUACCCGCAGAAUAAGCUCCGGCUAACUUCGUG